rnacentral:ncRNA from 1 species
UAUCUUUGCACCCGAAUUACUACCAUAUAAUUCAUACAUAAUAAUCAUUUAAAGCAAUAUUAGCAUG